CGUAGGUGGCAAGCGUUGUCCGGAUUUAUUGGGUUUAAAGGGUGCGUAGGCGGUCUUCUAAGUCAGUUGUGAAAUACUUCAGCUUAACUGGAGAGGUGCAAUUGAUACUGGAAGACUUGAGUUACUGAUGAGGUUAGGCGGAAUGGACGGUGUAGCGGUGAAAUGCUUAGAUAUCGUCCAGAACACCGAUAGCGAAGGCAGCUUACUAAGGAGUAACUGACGCUGAGGCACGAAAGUGUGGGGGAUCAAACAGGAUUAGAUACCCUGGUAGUCCACACUGUAAACGAUGAUUACUCGAUGUUGGCGAUAUACAGCCAGCGUCUUAGCGAAAGCGAUAAGUAAUCCACCUGGGGAGUACGCCGGCAACGGUG
rnacentral:rRNA from 1 species